AGCACCAUUAACAUAUUCUAUAAACCUGUGUCUCAUACAAGGGGUUUUUCCUGAUCCUCUCAAACUAUCCAAGGCAGGGGAACCUUUUGUCUGGAUUUAUCCUACAAAAGACCUUUUGGCAGAUUAUGGCUGGAAAUCCCUACAACAAGUUUCACCAUCCAUGAAUAAAUGGAAAGUUACCAGGAAAUGAUUCUAACUUAUCUUACCCCUUCCCUGCAUUUAUAUACUGGAAGUAGUUCUGGAAGUCAAAAAAAGUAUACUGAGAAAAGAAAACCUUUUUCCUCGAAACAAAAGUGCCCAUUAUUACAGUACCAGAUCAGACAGUGACAUACAUGUUAAUCAUCGUAAUACCACACUACACUGAAGAGGUGUAUAUCAUGCAGGGACGAAACUAUACAACAGAUUACCAAGACAUAUAAAAUCUCUUCCUGAACUACAGAGCUUUAAGAAGUCUGUGACAGCCUACCUUCUGAAAAACUGCUACUAUUCAAUCUCACUGUAUCUCAUG